rnacentral:tRNA from 1 species
GCGUUGGUGGUUCAGUCAUAGAAUCCUCAGCUUCCAUGCUGGAUACCCUGGUUCUAUUCCUGGCCAGUGCA